rnacentral:lncRNA from 1 species
CCCGCCCCCUCCCCACCAAGCCUUCCUUCCAAAUUGUCGCAGUGUCUGGUGGUCCCAGCCCCUCCCCUACUCACAUCCACCCUAUCAAUUUCACAGAGCCUCCAAGUCCCGCCCUUUAUCCUAACACGCCCCCCUCCAAACGGCAAAACCCAAAUUGGUUUGGCUCCUUCCCUGUAACACCCCCUCCUCAACUCAGGACUGAACUAGUGAUUCCAUCUUGGGCCCAGCCAAACGGGGUCCAGUCCCCUCCCUUCCUAGCUGGAUGGAUUCGGAAAGUGCACCCAGGAGGAAGGAAUGCAUCAAACUGGAAGAUACUGAACCCAGAAAUGAGCCCCAGAGUCAUGGAAGAUCUCAUUUUUAGGAUACAGAAGCUCUGCCCUGGAUAAAGACAGAGAAGACUACAGUUACACUUAAGGACAGCAUCGCAAGUCUAUUCUGUGCAACACUUUACUGGUGGUUCUGAAUGUCAUAUGUGGUAUUCGUGACAGGUUCGUGUGCUGAAAGCUUGAGACUUGGUGGAAUGAUUUGAAUUAGUGGAAUCUUUCAGAAAUGCAGCCUACUGAAAAGAGACGAGGUCACUGGGCUAAUCACUGUUGGGAGAGGUUGAUGUCAUUCUCUUGGGACUCAGGUAUUAGAUGCUGUUCUGGGAGCUGAAGACAUAACUGUGGAGAAGACAGAAAGCAAUGCCUGAUUCCCAUGGAGUUGAUUCUAGUAAGGGGAAGAGAGGAAACAAUUGGAUAAAGAAGUAAGAUCUGUAACAACUUAAAUAAAGUGCUAUGGAG